AAAGCAUCUAAGCACGAAACUUGCCCCGAGAUGAGUUCUCCCUGACUCCUUGAGAGUCCUGAAGGAACGUUGAAGACGACGACGUUGAUAGGCCGGGUGUGUAAGCGCAGCGAUGCGUUGAGCUAACCGGUACUAAUGAACCGUGAGGCUUAACCUUACAACGCCGAAGCUGUU
rnacentral:rRNA from 3 species